rnacentral:rRNA from 1 species
ACGGAGGAAGGUGGGGAUGACGUCAAAGUCAUCAUGCCCCUUAUGAUCUGGGCUACACACGUGCUACAAUGGCCGGUACAACGGGCAGCGAGGCAGUGAUGCCAAGCGGAUCCCUUAAAGCCGGUCUCAGUUCGGAUUGAGGUCUGCAACUCGACUUCAUGAAGCUGGAAUCGCUAGUAAUCGCAGAUCAGCCAAGCUGCGGUGAAUACGUUCCCGGGCCUU